rnacentral:rRNA from 1 species
GAUGAACGCUGGCGGCGUGCCUAAUACAUGCAAGUCGAGCGAACAGACGAGGAGCUUGCUCCUCUGACGUUAGCGGCGGACGGGUGAGUAACACGUGGAUAACCUACCUAUAAGACUGGGAUAACUUCGGGAAACCGGAGCUAAUACCGGAUAAUAUAUUGAACCGCAUGGUUCAAUAGUGAGAGACGGUUUUGCUGUCACUUAUAGAUGGAUCCGCGCCGCAUUAGCUAGUUGGUAAGGUAACGGCUUACCAAGGCAACGAUGCGUAGCCGACCUGAGAGGGUGAUCGGCCACACUGGAACUGAGACACGGUCCAGACUCCUACGGGAGGCAGCAGUAGGGAAUCUUCCGCAAUGGGCGAGAGCCUGACGGAGCAACGCCGCGUGAGUGAUGAAGGUCUUCGGAUCGUAAAACUCUGUUAUUAGGGAAGAACAAAUGUGUAAGUAACUAUGCACGUCUUGACGGUACCUAAUCAGAAAGCCACGGCUAACUACGUG